AGAGUUUGAUUCUGGCUCAGGAUGAACGCUGGCGGCGUGCUUAACACAUGCAAGUCGAACGGAGUUUACAUGAAACCUAGUGAUUGUAAACUUAGUGGCGGACGGGUGAGUAACGCGUGGGUAACCUGCCGUAUGCCGGGGGACAACAGUUGGAAACGACUGCUAAUACCGCAUAAGCGCACAGGAUCGCAUGAUCCAGUGUGAAAAACUCCGGUGGCAUACGAUGGACCCGCGUCUGAUUAGGCAGUUGGUGAGGUAACGGCCCACCAAACCUACGAUCAGUAGCCGGCCUGAGAGGGUGAACGGCCACAUUGGGACUGAGACACGGCCCAAACUCCUACGGGAGGCAGCAGUGGGGAAUAUUGCACAAUGGGGGAAACCCUGAUGCCAGCGACGCCGCGUGAGUGAAGAAGUAUUUCGGUAUGUAAAGCUCUAUCAGCAGGAAAGAAAAUGACGGUACCUGACUAAGAAGCCCCGGCUAACUACGUGCCAGCCGCUGC
rnacentral:rRNA from 1 species